AUAGCCAAGGAAAUGGGCCUGGCAGAAUCAGUUGGGAAAGAAGACCCUGUUGAGCUUGACUCUAGUCUGACUUUGUGAAAUGACUUGAGAGGUGUAGAAUGAGUGGGAUCCUUUUUUAGCGCAAGUGAAAUAUCACUACUUUUAACGUUAUUUUACUUAUUCUUUGGGGCGGAUAUGGGGAAUUGCCCUUGUUUUUUUCCAUAAGACACCUUUCAAUGGGUCGAUUUGGGUGUAAGACAUUGUCAGGUGGGGAGUUUGGAUGGGGUGGCACAUCUGUUAAAAGAUAAUACACAUUUCCUCAAAAUGUUGUCAUUGAUGGCAAUGGUCGAGAGCUCAUUCUACACGCACUUGAUGUCAUUGAUUUUCAAGCAUUGCAAGAUAUAACCAUGCAAGAACAAUUUGAUGGGUAUUACCAUAAUCAAUUAAUAUUUGU
rnacentral:ncRNA from 1 species